UUACGGGAGGCAGCAGUGGGGAAUAUUGGACAAUGGGCGAAAGCCUGAUCCAGCCAUGCCGCGUGUGUGAAGAAGGUCUUCGGAUUGUAAAGCACUUUAAGUUGGGAGGAAGGGUUGUAGAUUAAUACUCUGCAAUUUUGACGUUACCGACAGAAUAAGCACCGGCUAACUCUGUGCCAGCAGCCGCGGUAAUACAGAGGGUGCAAGCGUUAAUCGGAAUUACUGGGCGUAAAGCGCGCGUAGGUGGUUUGUUAAGUUGGAUGUGAAAGCCCCGGGCUCAACCUGGGAACUGCAUUCAAAACUGACAAGCUAGAGUAUGGUAGAGGGUGGUGGAAUUUCCUGUGUAGCGGUGAAAUGCGUAGAUAUAGGAAGGAACACCAGUGGCGAAGGCGACCACCUGGACUGAUACUGACACUGAGGUGCGAAAGCGUGGGGAGCAAACAGGAUUAGAUACCCCGGU
rnacentral:rRNA from 1 species